CGCUCCUUGUUUUACCAAAUAUAAGGAGUAGGACCUGCCCGGUGAGAUUUUUAACGGCCGCGGUACUCUGACCGUGCAAAGGUAGCAUAAUCAUUUGCCUUAUAAUUGAAGGCUUGUAUGAAUGGUUUGACGAAAUCGAUACUGUCUCUUUUUUACUUUGUAGAAUUUGACUUAAGGGUGAAGAGGCCCUUAUCUUACUGAAGGACAAGAAGACCCUGUCGAGCUUAAAGAAUAGGUGGAGAAUUAAUAUAAAACUAAAUAAAUAGAUUACUAGAUAAUUCUUUUGGUUGGGGCGACUAAGGAACAGAAAAAGCUUCCUUUAUUCUUUAUAUCUUACAGGUUAAAGAUCCAGCUAUGCUGACUGUAGAAAUUAGUUACCGCAGGGAUAACAGCAUAAUCUCUCUUAAGAGACCAUAUCGAAAGGGGGGGUUGUGACCUCGAUGUUGGACUAGGAUAUCCUAAAGAUGUAGAAGUCUUUGAGGGUUGGUCUGUUCGACCAUUAAAAUCCU
rnacentral:rRNA from 1 species